CGGGGCGCCCCCGCGCCGGGGAGUUCGGGGUGGCUGACGUGUGACCCCCCGCCCGCCCUGCCGGAGGCGGGGCCGGAGCUGGGGGCCGCCCUGUCCCCCCGGGGUGCCGGCGAGGCGCGGGGGGCGCGCGCCCAGUGAGUGCUGGAGGUGGGGGCCUGGAGGGGCGGCCCGUCCCGACGUCGGUGCUGUGAUGACCGGCUGCAGUGUUACUAGAAGUUCCUCCAUGAGUGUCCACUGUGUGCCUGGCACCGAGCCCGCAGCGCGGUCCUCCUGCCCCCAAGCCGGAGUGUGCACUGAGCUCCAAGUUGAGCCUGCCCUCCGGCCCUAAGAGCCGCCACACCGAGGCCCCUCAAGCCCACGUCUCCCGGGCUGCCUGCUCCAGGGCCGGCUUUCUCUCCAGGAAAGCUGCCCAGGCCGCCAGCCGCUGAGUCUUCAGCUGUGGCUGGCGGUUGCUUCUCAGUCUGCGGUUGCUCCCGCGCCCAGACUGAGAGAUGGCAACCCGGGAGGCUGAGGAUCGGCCAGUAGCCCUCCCAGGAGAGCGGGGCAGGAGCAGACCCAUGCUAGAGAGAGACAUCCCAGGUGGCCUGUGAGAGAAGGGGAGGGGAGCCGGUCUUCUGAGCCCCCCCAAAGUUUUUAAACAGUGCUGUGAUGAACGUGUCUGAUGAUAUGGGAGCCCCGCCCCCACCCCUCAUCCACAGGGGAUGCGCUCCAGGACUCCCACUGGCCGCCUGAAACCACCGAUAGUGCCCAUCCCUCUACAGACGGCGUUCUCCCCCCAUACGUACGUACCUGGGAUUACGCUCAGCUUACAAACUAGGCACCGGAAGGGAGCAACAACAUAAUAAUAAACUAGAACAUAACCGUACGCUGUGAUAAAGGGAGCUGGCCGGGGCCCCAGGGACCGGAGUCCACGCUAGUAGAGAUGCGGAGGCCUGUACUCGGAUCUGUUUCCCUUCACACACUGAAUGAUGGUCUCAUAAACUCAAAUGAAAGAGGGCACCCCCAACUGAAGGAACUUUGACCGUCCCCGGAGGCCCUGGGGGAGGCAGGCCCCCGUCAUGCUGCUGCAUCCCUGCCUCUGCGAAAUGUGAAAUGCACUGGCCCCGCUUUGAGAAGCUGGCCUGAGGUCACGCUCGCACCGUUCAUACAGGGGCGUCUCGACCAAGACUGUUUUCGGCUCAUCAAUGCAAAGGACCCUCAAGGACCGCCAGCAGGGGCAGUGAUGGGCCGACGUGGUGCCGAGCUUGCCCGUGGAUCAGGUGGCGGCCAACACGAGAGUGCAGUGGAAGCCUCCCGAGACGAGAUGCCAUCGUUCCGGAGGGCCCCGUGCGUCCCAAGUGGGAAACGAGGACGUGUCACCUCAGAUGCAGGAUAGUUUCCAGUUCAAGAUUUGAGGGAAAAAUGAUUUUCCCGCUCUGAUUUUUGGCGGCAGACGGCGUGGAUGGAGCCCCUUAGUGGGCGGUGUUGGCAGGUUUGCUCCUGUCCUCUGCCCGGGAGGCCUGCUGGCAGCUGGGGGCUGUGGUGGGAGGCGGCGGGGCUGGGGGCACAGGGCCGGGAUGGGGGGCCCUUCCAAGCUGGGAAAAACAUGCUGAGAAAAGGCAAAAGGGACAAAGGCCAGCAUCAGUCAGACGCCCCCGAGGAGCUCCAGGACAGGAGCUGCCCCUCCGCACAAGGAGAAGUGUGUGUGGGGGCUCAGUGCGGGCCCCCUGAGGGGCCAGGCUGGCUGGGGGGCUGUGCUGUGGAUGCAACGGGGAUCAGCCCCGGGGAGGCGAGUGGCCUGGCUUCUGCACCCCUGCCCAGGGGCCACUGCAGGUGGGCUUCCCCCACGCAGGGGGUGACCGUGGCCCAGGAGUGUCCUUCGGCCUGGGGCUCGGCCCCCGGGUGUCCAGGCAGCUGCCCUGCGUCUGCCACGCCCGUCCAGGACCUGAUUCCUUGGAAAGCAGCUACUGGAUCUUGUGGGGUGGCCAGCAGCUGUGUCCGUGGCCCAGGCCCAGGACUGGUCCACUCGCUCGGUCUUCCUCAGACAUUUUAUCCAAACCACACUCAGUGGAAGAGCUGCUGAAAAUGGGUCAAGAAGUUAUAAGAUUUACGUAGAUCUAGCUUAGAUAUAAAGACCUGAAAUGGGAUUCUAACAGUCCGGAUUCACGUGGCAGCGAACGUGAUGCAAGAAUCACAUUCUGGCAGAACUCCUCCCGGGGUGGGGCUGCUCGUGCUCCUGGCCACCGCGCUGGUCCGAGUGAACCUGAGACAGUCGUCGCUCAGGGCUCGAAAAAUUUCCCCAGUACACAGAAAAUAUUCUAUUUCAGUUCUCCUUUGGCAGAAAGGAGAGGUAGUCAGCCACACGAUCUCCGACGUUUGGAACGGCAACACGGAAAAUGUUACAUUUAAAAUUUAUAUUUUUUUAUAUUUUUAUAAGUUUUUAAAAUGUUAUGUCUGUAAAGAAGUCUACUUACAUCCUGACUCACGCAGUCCCUUUCUGAGAGGUGGGAUGGUAAGAAGGAUCCUGCAGGCUUGGUAAAGGGCUCUGGGUCCACCGUAGCAACCCGCAGGGGCUGCUGGGGGGCAGGAGUGGCUGCGUGGGGAGCUGUGCCCUCUGUGUGCCAGAGGCCCGUCUGGGACCUGAAGCUUGUGGAAAGGUGACCGUUCAGGAGAGAGAAGCGAGGGGCACCCGGGUGGCUCAUUCGGUUAAGCCUCUGCCUUCAGCUCAGGUGCUGGGAUUGAGUCCUGCCUUGGGCCCCC